ACAGAUCGUUCAGAGUUUGAUCCUGGCUCAGGACGAACGCUGGCGGCGUGCCUAACACAUGCAAGUCGAACGGAGAGCAUUGUACGGAGACUUCGGUUGAAGAAUGAUGUAUCUUAGUGGCGGACGGGUGAGUAACGCGUGAGCAACCUACCUUUCAGAGGGGGACAACAGUUGGAAACGACUGCUAAUACCGCAUAACAUUGCGAGUGGACAUCCACAUGCAAUCAAAGGAGCAAUCCGCUGAAAGAUGGGCUCGCGUCCGAUUAGAUAGUUGGUGGGGUAACGGCCUACCAAGUCGACGAUCGGUAGCCGGACUGAGAGGUUGAACGGCCACAUUGGGACUGAGACACGGCCCAG
rnacentral:rRNA from 1 species